UGUCCAGCAACUCCUAUCCCUACCUCCACGUAGCACCAGCUGGGCUGCGAGCACACUUAGGGAAGAUCGGACAGCUAACCCCGGUGGGAACUUUGGUCGUAGGCUGACAGGGAAGA
rnacentral:ribozyme from 1 species